GAGGGUAUAGCCCAGUGGUAGAGCGCAUGCUUAGCAUGCAUGAGGUCCUGGGUUCAAUCCCCAGUACCUCCA
rnacentral:tRNA from 1 species